rnacentral:rRNA from 1 species
UGGGUAACCUGCCUCAAAGAGGGGAAUAGCCUCCCGAAAGGGAGAUUAAUACCGCAUAAUAUGUUUUAAACGCAUGAUUUUAACAUCAAAGGAUUUUCUUCGGAACUUCCACUUUGAGAUGGACCCGCGGCGCAUUAGCUAGUUGGUGAGGUAACGGCACACCAAGGCAACGAUGCGUAGCCGACCUGAGAGGGUGAUCGGCCACAUUGGAACUGAGACACGGUCCAGAUUCCGUACGGGAGCAG